GCGUCCGUAGCUCAGUUGGUUAUGACACCACCUUGACAUGGUGGGGGUCGGUGGUUCGAGUCCACUCGGACGCACCA
rnacentral:tRNA from 1 species